rnacentral:rRNA from 1 species
GACGAACGCUGGCGGCGUGCUUAACACAUGCAAGUCGAACGAAGAGCGAUGGAAGCUUGCUUCUAUCACUCUUAGUGGCGAACGGGUGAGUAACGCGUAAUCAACCUGCCCUUCGGAGGGGGACAACAGUUGGAAACGACUGCUAAUACCGCAUACGAUCUAAUCUCGGCAUCGAGGAUAGAUGAAAGGUGGCCUCUACAUGUAAGCUAUCACUGAAGGAGGGGAUUGCGUCUGAUUAGCUAGUUGGAGGGGUAACGGCCCACCAAGGCGAUGAUCAGUAGCCGGUCUGAGAGGAUGAACGGCCACAUUGGGACUGAGACACGGCCCAGACUCCUACGGGAGGCAGCAGUGGGGAAUCUUCCGCAAUGGACGAAAGUCUGACGGAGCAACGCCGCGUGAGUGAUGACGGCCUUCGGGUUGUAAAGCUCUGUUAAUCGGGACGAAAGGCCUUCUUGCGAAUAGUGAGAAGGAUUGACGGUACCGGAAUAGAAAGCCACGGCUAACUACGUG